UCUCUCUUUUCUUUUCCUUUUCUUUAUUUUCUUUCCUUUUCUUUUUUUUGCCAUAACUUUCUUCUCUGAUCGUUGUUUUUGACAUUCUUGGUAUCAAAACGCUCCUCUCUUUAUGGGCAUCGUGUAGAUACCAAUUUUGCGUGGUAUCAUUUUCCAGUUUGUGUAAAUUAAGCUUCAGAAGUUUUAGCCCAUUUUGACUUUUGGGCUAGAUUUUUCGUAAAUUGUGAACCCCACGAAAAAUUCGAGAGUAUCGGAGUGCUCCCCUCGCUACUUUCAAUUCGAAGAAAUUCAACAGUUGUUCGUGUCUGCAAUUUCGGGUCGGCAGACAGGUUACAUAAAAAUUUUCAGAAUUGGGUCGAAAUUAUAGGUUACCCUACCAUUUUCAGACAUUCCGGACGCGUCCCCAAAGUCGGAAUUGGCAUAGGUGAGCCGAGACGGCCUUCCUCCUCCAUCCAGCCGUCAUAGUGAACUCGGUUCAAGUAUGUGAGUAAAAUAUUAAUUUUAAUUAUAAUUUCAAUAUUAUUAUAUGUUCAGGCAUGCCCAUACAUCACUUAUAAAUAUGUAUCUAUGUAGUUAAACAUUAGGCGCGUUUUAUAUUGCAUUCUUAAUUGAUGAAGUGCCAUGGAUGUUGUUUAUAGUAAUUUGGAGCAGUGUGCGUGCGUUGACGUGCGUGUGGUGUGUGGUAUUGGAUACGGAUAGGACAGGUGGAUGUCGCUUGAGAGACACUUGCUGGGACUCGGUCCUUUAUGGAUAAGUCAGGGUAGGCAAGGCUUGAGAUGAUCUCGCUGGCCCCGCAUUUGGUUUAUCAAGUGAAAGUCUGGCUUAAGAGACACUCGCUGGCAGAGGUUGGAUUAAGAGAGCUGUAUAGGGGAUCAGCUCCCAUAUAUGUACUCUUUAAACAUUAUUGGGUGUGUGAGUACUCCAAAAUACCUAUUUACUAUUAUAAUAUGAUGUGUAUGAAAAUUUUGAUGGUGUUGUAUUCCACUCCUUAUGAUGCAUUAGCUCUAGGUAGCUAUAAAAAUUGUAGUUAAAAUUGGUAUUUUACGCUCUGAGUUGAACGCUCACUCCUGUUCACCUUAUUUUUCCAGACUACAGAAGCAUUAGUUGUUGUGAUUAACCUGCUCAUCUUCUUCGCAGGUCAAUUAGUACUAUCUAAUAUAUUUUGUACAAUUUAGCUAAAUUUUAGACUCUGCAUGCUUUAAGAGUAUUUUAAUCAAUUUGGAGACUGUAAUAUAAUAUUUUGUUGAAUUUGUAAGAACAUUAAAUACAUGCAUAACUGGAUUGGAUGAGGGAGCAGAGCUUCUAUUAAAUUUUAUGACAUGAUGAGUAUGUAGAGGGUGAGCUGAGCUUUCCAAAUUGUUAUAUAUUGUAUUUAUAGAUCAGACGAGUCAAAAACUCCUCGUUGUAUGGUCUACAUUUAUGGUCGGACUUUGUCCGGUUGAAUUCUUGAAUUGGGCCUAAAAUGAGCCUUAGAAUUAGGUUAAGGAAUAGUUAAGCUUACUAUGGGCCUCGGGGGCUUUAGACCUGCCCAGGUCCUAGUGUCGGUCCGGCUCAUAAGUUGGAUCGUGACGCCAUCUGUGUAGGAAAAUGUAAAGAAAUAACCAGGAAAAGUUGGUUUAAUAGUACUGUUAACAAUCCGAGCCACCAUUUUUGGUUAAUUACUACUUCAAGAUUUCAUGGAGAUGAGUUGCAAGUUUGUGGGCAAUAGUGGCAAAUGGUAACAAGACAAUACCAAAUUGUUAUUAGGGAUGAUAGUAUAUGGGUUUAAGGGGAUAUUAUAGUGAAGUUUACAAAUCGCUUACUUAGAGGGAUAAUUGGUAAGACUUUAACUUUUAACUUAAUG